rnacentral:rRNA from 1 species
CCUACGGGAGGCAGCAGUGGGGAAUUUUGGACAAUGGGCGCAAGCCUGAUCCAGCAAUGCCGCGUGAGUGAAGAAGGCCUUCGGGUUGUAAAGCUCUUUUGUCAGGGAAGAAACGGUCUACUCUAAUACAGUGGGCUAAUGACGGUACCUGAAGAAUAAGCACCGGCUAACUACGUGCCAGCAGCCGCGGUAAUACGUAGGGUGCAAGCGUUAAUCGGAAUUACUGGGCGUAAAGCGUGCGCAGGCGGUUAUAUAAGUCAGAUGUGAAAUCCCCGGGCUCAACCUGGGAACUGCAUUUGAGACUGUAUGGCUAGAGUGUGUCAGAGGGGGGUAGAAUUCCACGUGUAGCAGUGAAAUGCGUAGAUAUGUGGAGGAAUACCGAUGGCGAAGGCAGCCCCCUGGGAUAACACUGACGCUCAUGCACGAAAGCGUGGGGAGCAAACAGGAUUAGAUACCCUGGUAGUCCACGCCCUAAACGAUGUCUACUAGUUGUCGGGACUUAAUUGUCUUGGUAACGCAGCUAACGCGUGAAGUAGACCGCCUGGGGGUAGGUUAGGUUCGUCGAGAGUAAACGUUACGAAGAGUAGAGGCGNGAGAGNGCGACGGACGACGACGAGGGAGGAGG